rnacentral:rRNA from 1 species
UACGUAGGGGGCAAGCGUUGUCCGGAUUUAUUGGGCGUAAAGAGCGUGUAGGCGGCCAGGUAGGUCCGUUGUGAAAACUCGAGGCUCAACCUCGAGACGUCGGCGGAAACCCUCUGGCUAGAGUCCGGAAGAGGAGAGUGGAAUUCCUGGUGUAGCGGUGAAAUGCGCAGAAUAUCAGGAAGAACACCCGUGGCUAAGGCGGCUCUCUAGUACGGUACUGACGCUGAGACGCGAAAGCGUGGGGAGCGAACAGG